CAUUCCAAUCCAAAAAUAACUUCAGAAAACUGAUUUUCAUUUCUGAACAUUAUUCCGUUAUCGUGGAUAUUUCCACUCUGUUUCAUGUGUGAUUAACAUUUUUAGUUUGCUAUUUCAUUACUAACUCCACAGACAGAUAGACUGGUAGAUAGUCACUCAGAGUGUUUGAUCCUCCUAAUCACAUCAUAUCCGUCUCUACCUGUGGCUUUAGACAAAAACGUCCAUGCUCAAUACAGCUGGUUCCCCCAAGUUCAGCAGUGACCGUAUGAUACACAAGUACGCAAAAGAUAUAUGGGAUAUCAUCCCCGUCAUCAUGCUUUGAAUAAUUUAAGUAGUUUACAGAAACCUUGAGUCUGUGAGGCGCAAUCAGUCACAGAUUUGCCUCGACUCCUCAUUGGGAAGGUGUUGCUGCCCCAGCUUUGUGUAGGAACAUGCAAGUUCUGACAUGGGCCUAAGAUCUGAGAGCAUGUAGUUUCAUCACUCACUCGCUGAUGGUUAUAUUAAAUCAAACCAAUUUGUGUCAAGCAUCUCUAUGAACAGGGAACAUUUUUUUGGUAGAAAUUCCAGAUUAACUUGAUAAGAGAGCAACAUCAGGAUUUUAUGUUUGGAACUAUUGAAAUUAUUUUGCCUUCUCUACUGAUGGCGCAAAGAACAUGAAGAAUACGAGAUAUAAUAGAUAGAGCAAUGAAUCUUAUCACCAAAAGAUUACAGAGGACAGUUAUCCCACAUUUUGGCAUGGUGAUGUUACCGGACGGUGUUCUUCCAUGCUAACUAUAAUGCACCCACAUUUUGUGGCGACAGAGCUAGGACAUACUAUAAAUCUAUGAUAGAUGCAGAAACGUGUUCUUCUAUAAGCAUGUGCUUGUAACAUGGGCAUACUAAUAAUUCCAUCAUGCUCCCUUCUCUCUCGCUCUUCUUUUGAAAUCCCAUUAUAUGAAUAAUAACAUGAAAAGAAUGGGCGUUUUCCAGAGCUUGGCCUAAUUUAAUAUGUUCUUAUGGUACUACAAAAAUGGUAAUAUGUUACUACAAUGUAUUUUCCAGAAAUCUCAUUGUUCAUUUACUGAAUAAUACUAAUUGCUAUCAUUUUAUUUUUCAGGAUACCUCUAAUUAUUUUUAAUGUGAUAUGUUUAAUUGCAGGGUGAUACGUAUGAAGGAAAAGAGCCAGAGCGGCGCUUGGAUAAAAGUCAGUGCUGGAAUUUGUUUGGCAUAUGCGGAAAUCUUAGUAAAGGAUAAGGACGCACACGGCGGUGAGGUUAGUAGGGGCGUAACAAACGAGAAGGGCGGGCGUGGCAAUGGCCAUUCAUGUGUCAGACGAAAAUUGUACACCCACAUGUGUGACGAGGCUGGACUUGACAUAUGCAUCAACAAGCAUGGUGAUGAGGUGAGAGUUGGAAGCGUGGAUGUACUUGACAAGGAGCAAGUAGAUGUGAGCAAGCAUGGUGGGCAAUGUCGACGAUGUUCACGCGAGUGAGACAGUUUGAGGGGAAUGCCUGUGCAUAUUUGUGGCGGAAUGGACAGUUUGAGGGGAAUUAGCCUGUGUCUUUGGACAGGUUGUCGACAGAUAAAAGUUUUAUAGUUUGGCUUGAGGAGUAACAUAGACAGGCAUGCUGGUGCUAUAAGGCUAUAUCUCUCUUCGUGGACAAGAGCAUACAAUGCUUCAAGUUUCAUGGAAGUUUUUAAAUUCCAUUAUGAGGCUCAAUCUGAAAUAAAAUGGUGUCUUGCUUUACCAAA